GAUGAACGCUAGCUACAGGCUUAACACAUGCAAGUCGAGGGGAAACGACAUCGAAAGCUUGCUUUUGAUGGGCGUCGACCGGCGCACGGGUGAGUAACGCGUAUCCAACCUGCCCAUCACUUGGGGAUAACCUUGCGAAAGUAAGACUAAUACCCAAUGAUAUCUCUAGAAGACAUCUGAAAGAGAUUAAAGAUUUAUCGGUGAUGGAUGGGGAUGCGUCUGAUUAGCUUGUUGGCGGGGUAACGGCCCACCAAGGCAACGAUCAGUAGGGGUUCUGAGAGGAAGGUCCCCCACAUUGGAACUGAGACACGGUCCAAACUCCUACGGGAGACAGCAGUGAGGAAUAUUGGUCAAUGGGCGAGAGCCUGAACCAGCCAAGUAGCGUGCAGGAAGACGGCCCUAUGGGUUGUAAACUGCUUUUAUAAGGGAAUAAAGUGAGAGUCGUGACUCUUUUUGUAUGUACCUUAUGAAUAAGGACCGGCUAAUUCCGUG
rnacentral:rRNA from 1 species